CGGCCGCCCCGCCCCGCCCCCGUGACGCGGCCACGCCCCCGCAGUGCGGGCCACGCCCCUCCGAGCGGCACCUGCGGAGAAGGCAGGGCGGCGCCCCGGGGCCGGGUGGAGUCGGGUCCCUUGCACUAACUAGCUAGCUGGUCCCUUCUUUCUAAGGCGCUGAGCAGUGGGUAUGCUAACUGUUUCUCCUCCGCAGAUGAAGGAGCUCAAGUUUCAAAAAGUUAGUACCUGCUCAUAUCUGACAGAGAGUUUCUCAGAAGCUCUAACCAGGCGUCCCAAACUAUCAGCAUCCACGUCAACUGCGUCCCCAUCAAAACAGAACUAAAGGGAACCGAACAGUUUUAUGGUUGGUAGCAGGGCCGAGCAGAAGUGAAAGUGACUUCAGAGGCUAGGUCAUAAAAGGCACUGCAUGGCUUUGCUAAGAUUUUCAUUCACCCCAAGUCAGGGGAUGUCACCUGCUAUGCCCUGGUACUAGAGGAACUACGGAGAGGUCCUGGUGAGGAGCUGAAACCUCCGAUAAAGCUUUGUGGGUCAUCUUGGAAGUAGAUCGCUAGGCCUGGUCAAGCCUUGAGCCGACUGUAGACAACCUGACUACAACUUUAUGAGACCUUCAGCUAGGACCACCCAGCUUAACCACAGUACCGGGCCAGGGAGGUAGUUCUUUUGGAGUGCCUGUCCUGUAAGCACAGGGCCGGAUUCCACCCCCAACAAUGAAUAAACCCAGCAUGAAGUGCAUGCCUGAACCCUGGUACUCAGGAGGUGGGAGCAGCAGCAUGAGAGACUCAAGGACAAAUCUGAGACCAGCCUGGAAUCCAUGAAACCCUGUCUUAAAAAACGGGUGAGGGGUCGAUGUUUCAGGCCACCAAAUUUUGGGGCUAUUUGUUACAUGGCUGCAAAUAACUAAUGGAUAAGGAAAAGAAGAAAGGACAAGGUACAAGUGAAUGUGUACGUUACUGUAGCUUUUCUGUAAAUUUCAAAAUAAAAAGUUAAGAAUAAACUUGA